rnacentral:tRNA from 2 species
GGGGCUGUGGCGCAGUUGGGAGCGCGCGAGACUGGCAGUCUCGAGGUCAGGGGUUCGACCCCCCUCAGCUCCACCA